UAACCUGAAUUGAGUAAUUUAUGUGACAGGUGUUCCUAGAAUAAGCCUCACUUCAUCACCAAUUUUGAAGGAUGAAAAUGUUAAGGGCAUGGUUGGUGUUGAUUAUUUAUAUUUCUUAUGGAAUAUGCCACACAGCGUUAGAUUUAGAUGAAUUUCCCGAGUGUGUGAUAGCAGAUAAGAUCGAUGAGUCAUUACACCAUACCAACAGAUGUGAAGACCCCGAAAAUAUGUUAGACACACCAGACAGCAGCAAUGAAAAAGAACGAGCAGUAUGCAAAUGUCCUGGUGUUACUAUAUGUCAUGAAACUGGUGGACCGGGGGAUACAAAAAUGUACUACUGCAAGAAAGAUAUACCUAAAGCUACUGGGACUAGUGGUCUAAAUUUGGAUGAGCCAAAAAACAAAACGACGACAUACGAUUGAAUACAGGAACUGUAGUUUUAUUUCAAUAUUGGGUUUUUUAGUGUUAAAGGUGCAUCUUUAUCUAUAUCACUGUAUGGGACUAAUAUAUUAAAUAUAAAUUUUUCAAUAUCAGAUAGGACACAAAAUUCUGUUUGAAGAAGAUGUUUAUGUCUCUCUCUCUCUCUCUCUCUCUCUCUCUCUCUCUCUCUCUCAAAUUUAAUGUAGUUAUUGAAUUCCAAUUUCCAUUCACAGAAGUGCAUCCUAACUUAUGUGCAUUGUAAAAAUAUCUCUCUCUCAAAUUUAAAUUAGUUAUUGAAUUCCAAUUUUCAUUAGCAGACGUGCAUCAUAACGUAUACUUUGAAUUUGUUAAAUGCAUACUAGUAUGUCUUUGUUUAAAUUUUGAACUUUUAUUGAAAUAUUGAUAUCAAUAUGUAAUUUAAUUAGAUAUAUUAUGACACUGUCGACAUCAAGAAAAAUAAACUGAAUUGAAUAAUUUAUGUAACAGGUGUUCCUAGAAUAAGCCCUCUCUCUCUCUCUCUCUCUCUCUCUCUCUCUCUCUCUCUCUCUCUCUCUGCAAUACCGGUGUAAUUAAAGUACAUUUUAAACUAA